rnacentral:rRNA from 1 species
AUUGAACGCUGGCGGCAGGCCUAACACAUGCAAGUCGAACGAGUGGCGGACGGGUGAGUAAUGUCUGGGAAACUGCCUGAUGGAGGGGGAUAACUACUGGAAACGGUAGCUAAUACAGCAUACCAUCAGAUGUGCCCAGCUGGGAUUAGCUAGUUGGUGGGGUAACGGCUCACCAAGGCGACGAUCCCUAGCUGGUCUGAGAGGAUGACCAUCCACACGGGAACUGAGACACGGUCCAUACUCCUCCGGGAGUCAGCAGUGGGGAAGAUUGCACAAUGGGCGCAAGCCUGAUGCAGCCAUGCAGCGUGUAGGAAGAAGGCCUUCGGGUUGUAAAGUACUUUCAGCGGGGAGGCGUUACCCGCAGAAGAAGCACCGGCUAACUCCGUGCCAGCAGCCGCGGUAAUUC